AACGCAAUAAUAAACUAAACAACAACAUCAAAUACAUGCAUAUAUUUACAUGAAGAUAAUCCGAAAUAGAAUAUUACACCUUCUAAAUGAAUAUAAUUUAGAGGUGCAACGACAAUGUUACAUUAAUAUAUCGAAAGAAAAAUCAGCGGCAUAACAACAUAUGAGUGUCGAAUCAGCGAAUCAAAAUCCAAUUUACACAUUGUAGCAAAAUCAAACAGCAACAACACAAUUAUUUACAAUGUUCAACAUGUUUACAGAUUAUUACUGUCUCAAAUACAAAAUCGAAUUGAAAACUAAAUGUGACAACCAAACUAAGAACCCAACGACACAACACAAAAAUGGCUCGAAAUCGAAAAGUUACCGAAACGACGUUGUUAAUGCUACCGUUGUUCAAGAUCUUCCCUCCUCCAUGAAUGGGCAUAAAGUGAGUUGCUUGUGUUUUUGAUCUCCAUGAAUCCCAAACGAAACAUUCAUAACAAAAUAGUAGUCACCACUUAUAGAAAUGAAGACGGUGUUGCCAUCGAAACAGGAGCACCUGAGUUACCUUUAUUAACAUGAGUCCACUAUUCAUAACAAGGCAACACAUGUGCUUGUUAGUGCAGAAAAAGGUUAUUGACAUGUGAGUGAAAAACAGAAAAGUGAGUUAUGUGGAUAGUUUCGUUCACCUCACCGACAGGAGUUAAAGCAUGGUAGAAGUAGAAAUGUGGUAGUGAUGAGUUCGUGAGGAGGCUUUCGUUGGUGGUGCUCAAGAAAGGGAUGAAGGUCGAAAGUUUAUGAACAAAAUAAGGUUUCGAGUGAUUGUUUAAAAGGUAGAGAAAUGAGGUUUAUGACGGUGGGGGAAGUCAUUGGUUAGGUUGUGUUUGAAACGAUUGAGUGAGUGAUGUAGAUGUGUUUGUGGUGGUUUGAGUAUAGGUGUAUGAGGGGCUGAGUAGAGUUGAAAGGGAUGGUAGAGUGAGUAUCUGAGAGAGUUGAGUUUGGUUAUGGAGGAUGAGGGUGGAAGAGUCUGGUUCUCGUGGUGGAUUGAAGAGAUGGAAGGUGCGUUGAGUUUUUUACAUGGUGGAUAUUGUGUAGUGUAUUUUGAAGGAGUAGCAGAAAAAUUGAGUGAAGGAGGAAGAAAAGAAAAAGAAAGUCGUGAGCGAGAAGAAGAGCAAAAUGAGAAAAAUGAAAUUGUUUUAUUUUUUUU
rnacentral:lncRNA from 1 species